rnacentral:lncRNA from 1 species
GAUGGGAAGCGCUCCUUGCUAACGGAGCAGCGGCGGAACAGCGGAGCGCCGUGCUCGGUGGAGCAGAAAGCCGAAGCGAGCUUAGCGUGGGCAGGGGCGAGGAGAAUGCUUGAGCACUUGUGCGACGGCACUGCGAUUGCCGUGCUCGGCUCCAGGACUGCCGCGAGCUGCGCGAGGAGCAGCGCCGCGGGUCCCGGCGGCGAGGCGGGGAGGCGACGGCACGGCGGGCGGCUCCUACCGCUUCCUCGCGGCCGAGAGGAUCCGCCGGCCCGGGCAGGGCGCGCAGCCCGAGCGCAGCCCCGAGCACGCGCACGGUACCUGGGGGAGAGCGGGAGAAGUUGCGUCCGGUCGCGCUGACCGCCUGGAUGUAGAAGUAGCGCACGGGCAGGGCGAGCCCCGCUUCCAGCCCGGGGCCCCACACCAGGCUCCGCUCGGGACUGACGGCGGCCGAGCCCAGCAGCGGCAGAGCGGCGCCCAGCAGCAGCAGCGCGCAGCCCCGGCUGCCCAUGGCCGCGCCGCGCUGGAGCGGGGCCGGGGCCGGUGCCGGGGCCUCCUCCGGGCCUGCGCGGCCGGGCGGGCCCCGCGCCCGCUCCCCGCGGGCGACCGCCGCCCGCUCCCCCCCGCCCGCUCCACGCCCUGCGGGGCGGCCCGAGGGGGCCGGGGCCGGGCGAGGCCCGCGGCUGAGUGGCAGCGCAGCCCGCCCCGAGCCGGGGCUCCGCGAAGAAGUAGUAGCUGUCUGCUUUCCCCCAGCAACGCGUUACCGGUGUUCUUCGUAAGUCCGCCGCGGGGCAGAGCCGGAGCGUGCCCUGGGCUCCUGCCCUCUGCGUGCUGCGGGUGGGUCCCGUCAGCGCUGGAAGGGGAAGUGGCAUUGUUAUCUAGAAAAUUAAAAGUUCCGCAAAACAAAGCGAUUUUGUAAGUUUAACACGGUGGAAACGGGAAACACCCCUGAUGGUUUGUUUCCUAAAGUCGUAUGUUUUUUACCAGAAGCGUCUUUGCUUCCCUGGAAGCAUUCAAGGCCAGGCUGGAUGGGGCUGUGAGCAACUUGGUCUAGAGGGAGGUGUCCCUGCCUAUAGAAGGGGAUUGGGACUGGAUGACCUUAAAGGUCCCUUCCAGCCCAAACCAUUCUAUGAUUCUGCGAGGAAGUGAAGGUUCCAGUGGAUGUGGGGCUCAUAAGACCGUAAGGAAGACGCACAGUCUUUUCCGCAGCAUCCAUAAACAUCUUCAGACCAAAACACCACCAAGUCUGAUGACACUGUCUCUCCAACACCAAAAGGACCCCCUGAACGGCACUAAGCUAGCUCAAGCUUCUGCCAGGCGGACUUCUCCACAGGACUGACACUGCUGCCUACUGCCGUAUUUCUCUGACUCCGUGGAAUAACUCUACCUGGCGAGAGGCAGAUUAUUUCAGCACUCUGCCUAUGCAUCAAGCAAACCACAUGCCACGGCAACACCUAGAAGAGGGUGGGGGAAGUUUUCAACAGAGAGGCGUGGCUUGAAAAUGUGGCAAUCGGCUCAGCUACACGUCAGGACUGACUUGUUUAUUUUUCAAGCUGUGCGCUGCAAGAAACCAAAGGCAUCCGACUCUAAGAUAGGAUAGAUUUUCUGUAGAAUAGCGAGAUAAGUAGAUAUUAGAGGAGAUGAUGCAAUGAGCGGGCAUGACUUAUAUUUUUAAGAAACCAUUCCAGAGCUUAGCUCCAGCCUAACCCUUUUGCAUCAGCACGCUGGCACGAAGAGCUCCAGCUCCCUGAGCCAAGAGCCUGCUGGUGCAGCAGGAGGGACUGUGGGCACCCGCAGCCUUGUGCCACGUCCCAGCACAGGGGGCGGUCCCUGCCACGGGAAGGAGGAGGGAGCAGGUGACACGUACAGGUGUCUGCUAUAAAACUCUACAAAUGUUCUGUGGCUUUUUUUCCUAUGCUGUGUUGCUAUGUAGAACUGUUACCAGUAAACAUCCACAAAGCUAAUCUUGUUGCCUUUACUCGACCUCUCUUUACUUGCUUUGAUCCAAAC